UGCACGGUAGUGCAGUUGGUAGCACUGUUGCCUUGCAGCACGAAGUUCCUGGGUUCGAUUCCCAGCCGGGGGUCUUUCUGCAU